rnacentral:rRNA from 1 species
CCAGACUCCUACGGGAGGCAGCAGUGGGGACUCUUCCACAAUGGUCUCCCGCCUGAUGCCCCCGUGCCGCGUGUAUCAAGAAGGCCUUCGGGCUGUAAAGUCCUUCCAGUCGGGAGGCAGCUGGUAAGCUUCAUAACCUUAUCAAUUGACGUUACCGACAGAAGAAGCACCGGCUAACUCCGUGCCAGCAGCCGCGGUAAUACGGAGGGUGCAAGCGUUAAUCGGAAUUACUGGGCGUAAAGCGCACGCAGGCGGUUGAUUGAGUCAGAUGUGAAAUCCCCGGGCUCAACCUGGGAACUGCAUUCGAAACUGGCAGGCUGGAGUCUUGUAGAGGGGGGUAGAAUUCCAGGUGUAGCGGUGAAAUGCGUAGAGAUCUGGAGGAAUACCGGUGGCGAAGGCGGCCCCCUGGACAAAGACUGACGCUCAGGUGCGAAAGCGUGGGGAGCAAACAGGAUUAGAUACCCCAGUAGC